rnacentral:ncRNA from 1 species
AUCUUCAGGGCGAGGUGAAAUUCCUCACUGGCGGUACAGUCCGCGACCCGUACUGCGUUAUCGCAGCCGGCUGACCCGGGGAGGCUCCGGGACCAACAGUAAAGUCUGGAUGAAAGAAGAUG